UGACUAGUAAACGAGUGCCUUUGGGGACGAAGUAGCCACCGAGAUGACAGUCCUCCAUGGCCUCACGGAGGCCUGUGAUUGGGCCAGGUGGGUAUAAGCGUAGGGUUUCUUUGAGAAUGGCUUGGAGGUAUUUGAGGUUUGUGAGGUCUGAUUCUUGAACCCAUCGGUCUUUUCCUACGUGGAUGUCCAACUCUUCCUGGGCAGAUUUGAGGACUUUCUGGUUGUUGAGGAGUAAGGACAUUGCCCAUGUUAGUGUCACAGAUGUGCUUUCUGUGCCAGUUGCCAUUAGCACCUGCAAAAGGAAGGAAAAUAGAAAACAAAUUAAUCCAAUUUUUCCAAUCCAACUGAUAUGAUAUAAUUGAAACUUAUUUAUUUGCAACAAAAAAUUGACAAGUUAUGUAUCACGUCAAUUGGUAAGAAAAAUUAAAUAAAAGUUCAUUUAUGUAGUACCAUACUUAGCAUAUUACUUAGUAUUACAUUGGCUUAUGAUUAAUGUCAAGUGUAAUCUCAUAGCGCAUGCUAAUUAAGUAUAGUUCUACAAAUUCACAUAAACUUGUAACAAAGUUAUAGUGUCGUGGGUGCACCAUUUUGUAUAUAUACAUGGUUAGGUAUUAAAAUAUGAACAACUAUUGUAUUUUAAAUAACUCAUAACACCACGUCAAACGUUUGGUUUGUGCCAUACAUAAUUACACCAAAUAAACUUACCAGUGCUGUUGCUUUGAUGACAGUAUCACGGUUAUGGCCAUAAAUUUCAUCCUCCUCAAAGUUGGAUAUCAUAACAUCCAUCAAGUCACUCUCAACCUUAUUAUUCUUGCUUUCCAAUCUUCUUUGUCGAUGUUCUUCGAGCCAUUUCCCAAGUACGUAGUCCAGUUCCUUAAAACAUUUCUUCAUGGAACUCACGUGACCAAACCAACCGUCUAGCCACUCAAAACAUGGCAUAGCAUCCGACCAGACAAAAACACCAAAGAGAUGCAAAGCCUCUUUUACUGCCUUUUCAAAACGCCAAACUUCACCGUUUUUCUCGUUAUACUGGCCAACUGUAAAUCUCUUCCCAGCGAUCAACUUCACGUUUAUGUUAAACGUCAAGUGCUCUAAUAACUCACUCAUAUGCACUGGCGACGAUGACGUUGAACUUGGAUCCACAUUAUCUUUUGUGCAAACUAGUGAGUGCAAAUUUUUGAUGAAGGAGUCAACUUCUGAGGCUCUGACGUGGCUUAGGGUUUUAACUCUUUUGCUCGAGAGAAGCUCCAUGGUGGUCAAUUUACGGACCUCGCGCCAGUAGUCUCCGUACGGGGAAAGGGCGAAGGUUGCAUUGUCAUAGCCCAAGUACUUUCCGCCGGCUGUAGUCGGCCGGGUGGCGAAAACUCUGUCCUUUUUUGUGAACAAUUCUUGGACUUGUUCCCAGGCGCUGAGAACAAGCAAUUCAUGUUGUCCAAGCUUCAGGGAGUAGAUUGGUCCGUGUUGAUCAGCCAUGGCUCCGAGUAUAAGUGCAACUGGGAUUUCAGAGCGCAGCAGAGGAAGGUGACCUAUUAAGGGCCAUGCUCCCGAGGGUUGAGGGACUUUAGGCAUCAUGAUCUUUUUGUUGGUUGUGUUCUUCUUAGUGUUUGCUAUUGCUAUGAUUCUUAAGGCACCAUAGAGAAUUAGAGAAGCUAAAACUGUGUGAAUGAUUUGGAAUGGAGAAAUUGUUGACUCCAUGGUGGUGACUGGUGGGAGAGAGUUAAGUGGUGGUAAGAUUGUGCGGAGGAUAUGUAGUAGAUUUUGGGAUGUGCAUUUAUAGGAGGAGAAGGAUUCUCUCCCUCCUAAUUUCUCUCCCAUUUCCUCAUCUCCUAUUUGAACGAUCAUGGUUAAACCACAUCAACAUCUUAUAUUGAUUUUUUUAUAAAGAGGAGGGGAAGAAAGAGAAUGGGAAUAGGAGGCUUUUGAUUGUAUUUGUAACAGAAUAAAAAAUCAAGAAGAUAAUGAAAUUGAAUCUGUAAAUCACAAGCACAACCAUCAAUAGAAGUAGCUUCAGAAAUUGUCCACAUUAAUCAUUUGGGUCAUUAUAUGAAAAAUCUUCAUUAAAUUGAGGGUAUAUUUAUCAAAUCAAUUCGUCCACCUAAACUGAUGAUUUCUUCAAUUUAACGGAGAUUUUUCUACAAACUAAUUGACGGUGAACAAUCUCAAAAUCCAAUUAUAUCGAUUUAAAAAAAAAAAAAAAAAACCCAUUUAAGGGUGAUCAAAUUUAUGGUCGAUAAGUUUUCUUUCAUCGUUGACGUGGACAAAGUUGACCAAUCUUCUUUAAUACAUGUGCAAAGCAUGUAGGAAUAAGGAUCAUCUUCGGAUUCUUUUGUGAGGAUUUCGGAUAUCCGUGUAUUUUUUUCUUUCAUUGUACAUCGUGUGGUCAAAAACCAUUUUAAAUUUUAUUAUUUAAAAUUGAACAUAAAUAGUAUCUAAAGAAAACUUAUUGUACAAUGUACGAUGAAUAAACACGAUUUACAUAUCUCUGGAAUUCUCAUAAAAAGGAUUUGGAGAAGAUUUGGAUUCAGCAUGUAGCACCAACGACAUUCAUAUGAGUACUGUCAUUGUCAACUUUCAUUUUUCGUUUCUUUUCGAGAAAUUAUUUGCAUGCAUUAAUUAGCAUGAGAAAUGUCUCCACCCUACCACAAAUCAUUCAUAAAAGGUGGUCGGUAAUUUACUACAUAUAACAUCACUUCUCUUUAUACUUCCACGCUUUCCAUAAAUAUUUUCAUAUAUGUCUUUGAGAGCAAUUUAUAUAAAACAAUUUCGGGUUCGAAAAGAGCAUACUAGUGGGACGAAGUCCAGAAAUUGGCAGCCAUGUUUUCUUUCCUGGGAGAUUUCCAAGUGUCUGAGUUCCCCCCAAUCGUCAAUUACUUCAUCAUUGAGACCUUCAGAUUCUGUUUUCCGGGAAAGUACAAGUUGGACUUUGGAUUGAGCCCAUUUCGUUGAUCAUGGCCUUGCCACCCAUCUCGUAGACAAAUAAUUAUCUACCCAACCCUUUAAUUUGGGUUUAAAUUUUCACUUCAAAGCUUGACUAGCCUGACUAAUUUUUCCGUGCUUAGUAUUGUUAUGUGGUGCUUGGAAAUUUGAAUUCACUAACGUUAUAAUAUGUAUAUCUUUUUUUUCAUCAUACACAUCAGAUUUUUGAAGAACUAAAUCAUAUAAGUUGUUUACUUAUUCAUAUGAAUGAGAAUAAAAAUCAAUGUGAUUACUAAAAUGUCCAUAUUCUAGUAAUCUAUUUUAUAUGCUAAUUCUUGUUUGUUUAUUUAUCUUUUGGUGAAAUUUUAUUUUAUUUUAAUUUUGUGAGAAAAGUUGUAAUUCUUUUUAUUUUUUAUUUUUUUUUCUCUUUUGAGAGAAUAUAAUUUGCAUGAGUCCCACCAAAUUUUUUAUUUCUCAAUAUUUAAUAGCAUCGGAGUAGAUGUCGUUGUCAUAAUUCAAUUUCACCUUUUUAUUCCACUUACCCGUACAUGGACAUGACAUAAAUGUUGCCCCACUCUAGCACUCCCACCUUCAUUUGACUAUUGUGAGCAUUGUCAUUGUCAGCUCCUUUGUUUUUUAUUUCUUUACGUACAAUUAUUUGUAUGAAUGGGUGAGAAAGGUAUCUUCCGCCUAACAAAUAGUGCAUAAAAUUGUGGUUAGUAAUCUAGGACAUAUAACAUGAGACUCACGUUUUCGCCCACAUUCAUCGUACAUGUUCACACUUGGGUGCAUAUAUAUUAUUACUUUAUAUCAAUACAGUAAAAUGCACUUUGUAUAUUCGAACGUCUUUCGUCUAGCCUAACCGAUGAGGGUAAAUAGGGAAACAAGUUAUGUAAGAGUUCAAUUGUGAUAUGAAGUAAGUUAAAAAGAAAAACUAAUGAAAAGGGCUUCAAAACUUUGAGUUUUAACAAAAAACUAUCCGAUAACUUUAUUUAAAGAUAAGGACAAGAGAAAGAAAAAAAAAAAACAAAAAAAAAAAAAAAAAAAAACCUAACUAAAGGCGUGCAAAGAGCACCCAACCAAUCCUUCAGUUGCAUAGCCCUUUGACAUAAUCCAAGCAUAUUUUAUUCCUCUAAAAUUAAAAUUUCAAAUUGAAGUGGGUUUCGUUCAAUUCAAAAUCACAUUUGGGGUGGUAUGGUUGAGAGGGAGUCGGUCAGGUGUGAGUUGGGAUGGUUGGGGGUAGGGGUGGGACAACAUCAUUGACAACAUCGUUGGACUCAUCACCAAUUUUUCUAGCAUAGGUAUUGCGCUAUUAGCCAUGCAUGACUUUAACGGCCUGGACGUUCAUCUCUAUCAUCUUUUUUAUUUUUUAUUUUUAUAAACAAUAUAGUAUCGUUAAAUUUCAUAAAUAGUGUAGUACUUGAUAGGAUUUUUAGCACUUGUGCAAAUACGGUUAAAAUCACUUAAAAUACUUACAAGAAUACAAGGUAAUUGUAGUAUAGAUACUCAUGCAAGGUCGUUGUCCCCAAAGAUUGUUUGACUAAUUUGUAAUUAAACUAACUCUUAAUUAAUUAUUAAAACAUAUUUUAUCAAAGAUUUGAGAUUUAUGAAUUUAAAAAGAUUAGGUAAACAAUAAAAUAAGGGUAAAUUACAUAAUACCCCCUCCGAUUUGAGGUCUAUUACAACCCCAUACAACAUCUUUAAAACAUUUCACUCUCAUACAUUAACUAUGAUUUUCAUUUCAUUUUAAUACAAUCGUUAGUCAAUCCGUUAAAUUGAUUGUUAAAUAAUGACAUGGAAAAUAUAAAAUCUAUUUUUUAAUGAUGUGGACGCCACGUGUUUGCCAUGUGUACAAAAUGUUGACAUGGCUGACAAACAUGUGCCACGUGGCAUAAAAUAAAAAAAAAAUCUUAACAUAUUAAAAUAAUUAAUUAAAAAAUAAAAAAAGUACAAAUUCUUCAUCUUCCCUAGCCCUUCUCCCACCACCACCCCUUUGCCCAUCUAAGCCACCCAUUCUCCUCUCCUCCGUCAGCAACAUCUUAUCUUCUCCUCCCGUCUACAACACCUCAUCUCCUCACAGCAUGUUGUCGAAGUAGCCCCAAGACGCCGAAUCCUUCGUUGCUCUUCCAAAGAUGUCUCCCACCUUCGUUGUAUCUCAUCCUCCUCUUCUGAUUCCCUCGAGACCCACAACCUCGUCACCUACAACAUUAGCGUAGGAGUCACCAUGUUUGACAACUAGGUCCAAGUUAUAUUCGUCCAAAUUCGAAAUUUACCCAAACCUAGGUCUAGGUUGCAAGGCCGAAGUCGGCGUCCCUCCGCCUCCCUCCUCAUGCUACUACAGCAACCUUAACGACAUUUCCCUCGCCCGCUGUCUGCAACUCCUAGAUCUGGAGGUAAAUUUGGGGGUGGGAUUCAGUGAAUUUGGGAGUGGGAUUUGUUCAAAUCUAAAUUCCCCAAACCCAGCGCCUCCACAAAUCCAUUUGGAUUGCUAUUUGGUUUUUGCUCGAUUAAGUACUGCAAUUUUGGGGCGGAUCUGAAGAUUCUGCAUAAUUUUUUUCGUCAGAGCAAGUAGCUGGAGAAGAUAGGGAUGAUAGGCUAAGAAGAAGUUUAAAAGAUGUGGGCCCCCUUGUGUUUUUUAAGUUUUGUCUUAUAUUAGCUUUAUAUUUAAAUUGGUACUGAUUAAAUGAAUUUUUUUAAUUUUUUUUGUACACAUGGCGAACACGUGGUGUCCAUGUCAUUAAAAAUAUAGAUUUUAUAUUUGCCACAUCAUUAUUUAACAGUCAAUUUAACUGAUUGACUAACGGUUGUAUUAAAAUGAAAUGAAAAUCAUAGUUAAUGUAUGAGAAUGAAAUGUUUUAAAGAUGUUGUAUGAGAUUAUAAUAGACCUCAAACCUGAAGGGGUAUUAUAUAAUUUACCCAUAAAAUAAAUCUGAAAGUUUGGAAAUAAUGGCAGCAAAGAAGAAAAACGUUUUUAAAUUAAAAUCAAUUAAGGGAAAUCUAGGGUUUAGCCGUCACUGUGACAGUCCUAUGCAAUUCUAUCAAUUACUUAUGAAUUUCCACAUACAUGCUUUGAAGGUUAGGUUUUCCUAAUGCAUAUUUUCCUUGUGAUGUUCAAGCGAAUAUGUAUAUCUAACAUGCAAUCCGUCUGUGAUGUUCAGAUCAAAUAUAAACAUGCAAGACUCAUUAAGUUUCAUGAAAACCCUUUGAAAAACCAAGCAACCCUUAAGAGCGUGAUGUUCGCCUUAAGUGAACUUACAAUUACUAAUCACAAGAAGCCUUCCUCAAUUUCAGGGUGAUGUUCCAACAGAAAUUGCAUCAAAUUAAUUGUCUAAAUAUCCUAAUGGUGAUCAAUCAUUAAAUAUAUAGAUAGUUUUAAUCGCGGUGAUUAAUAAUUCAAAGCAAGCCUGCAUCCCUUCAUAAGCAAGUUAAUAAAAUUACAUAUUCAUGCUAAAGGCUCAUGGCUUCGCCCUAGCAAAAGAAAUUUGUUACACAUACUCAUAAUAAAAAUCAAAGAAAAUAUUUUUAGAAUGAAAACACCUUGAAGUAGAAGAUCUAAAAGCCUUUGAAAACCCUAGCAAAGUUCUCUGUCUCCAAAGUUGAAUAAAAGAAAGCGUAACCCAAACUAAGGCUGACUAAAACCUUAAAUAUAUCCCUAAAACCAGCGGCACAAUCCCUGAGAACCAAGUCUCUUAUUUCCACUAGGAAGCUAACUAAUAAUAAUAAUAUAACUUAGAAAAUAGAGUUUUAAUUAAACUAGGACAAUCUGCACAUAAACUGUCCAGCCACGUUUUAGCCUCAAAUCUCCCCUAAAUUCAGCCCCUAAUAGCUUGUUUUGAAGAUCGGGACAUUCUGAACACAUCUCUAGAAGGCCAUGAACCCAUCCGAGGUCAUCUUGGGCUCCAAAAAUGCAAUUCAAGCCCAAAAUGUUAUUAUUCCAACAUCUUUAUUCUAUUGCCAGAAAAUAACCGCCUGGUGGAAAAGUCUGAUAUUUUGACACGAUCAAGCUAAGUGACUCACGAACGUCCUCCAAUUGGAAUUACUACAAAAUUCAUCAAUUUGACCAUGUUUUGCUCCAGAGGAAGUCGAAAGUCCUAUAAUGGAAAUACAAUUCAACGUAUCAAAAUUCUUCCAAAAUAUUAACCAAAAUAUACUAAGAAUAGGGUUAAAUAUAUAAUAUAAAAUUCACUCAUCAAAAUACCUCCAAACUUAGCUUUUUGCUUGUCCUCAAGCAAAACAAGACUCAAACAAAAAUAAAAACUUAACAAACUAGACACCUAGCUAAAACUUAACCAAGACAAAACUUCCACCUUCAAGUUGCAAUCCAUAGCAAAUUUUAAAAACUAGAACAUUUUUCAAACGAUCCACCCAAUCCCACCACAGUGUCUAAGCUAUUUAGAAUCAAUUAGAAAAGAAUUCACAAACUUCCGUUUGUGUAAAGUGAAUCAUCAAAGUUAAAGAGACUCGACGAAAACCCUUACCUCUCAUCCCUAUUAUUCAUACUUCACAUACUUAUAUAAUCAUUCUUUUUUUGUUUUGUUUUCGAUUUUGUUGUUAUAUAAUAUUUUUUUCCAGUAACAGUAGUGGUCAGGCAAUAUCGGUUCCCUUAAACUUUCGAUCCAACCCAUGUAGCGAGCUUUAGGUCAAUGACUCCCAAACCACUAGGGCUUUAGGGCACUAGGUGUAGAACACUCCUAAGGACUUAUUAACUUGAGUUGAAAAGGCUAUGAAACCAACUAACCACCCUGCCCAUGUCAAAACUCUACCGUUUGAUUCGAGAAUCACUGCUGAUUAGGCAGAACUAACCUGGUUACUAGGCAAAGCCUCGGGUGAAACAAUUAUUACUUUGUAACACAUACUAACUUUAUUUUAUAUAGAACAAAAAUUAAAAUACACUUAGACAAAAAGUAAGUGUUUCAAUCUCACUCCCCACAAACCAUGUUGGUGUGAUGUGCAAAUUUCAAAGUAUAAUUCAUGAAUUAGUGUCUAAGCAACGAUAAAUAGAAAAGACCCUACUGUGGGAUUAACCCUUAUCAUGUCCAUUUGUUUUAAUGUUUAAAACAAACUAUGGAUACUAACUUAAAAACGAAAAUUUUAGACAAGACUCAAAAAUUAAAAAUCUAAAAUUUACUUUCCCACCCCCAAACUUAAAUCACACAUUGUCCUCAACAUGUGGAAAAUAAAUAAAAAAAAACGAUAAGAUAAAAACAAUUGGAACUAAGAUGAAGAAACUAAACUAUUCAAAAUCAUGAAAAGAAAACGAAAAUGAAAAAAACUAAAAGGAAAAGAAGUAACAAAAAAAAACAAAAUAACAGAGAGAAAAAUAAAGAAAAAUAAAGAAACUAAACUAUUCAAAACAUCCUUCUCAGACAGACAUGGAAGGCUCUAGAUUUGUACAAGUGUCGUGCAUCCCGAUGGUGAGUUCCUUAGGAUUCCAACUGAAAAGCUCCAUCAGGUUCCAUUUCUCUUAGAAACCAGUUCUCUCUAAAAUGAAAAGAACUCUCCUCCUCUAUCUUUAGAAAAUCUGAAAAGAUUCUCUCUAAGCUCUUCCCAUUUUCAAAACUCUCAAACCCAGCCAUCAUUUCAAACCUCCCUUUCAAAACAGCCCAUUCUCUUCCACUUCUUCAUUUCUCUGAAAGAAAAACUCAAGAGCAUUCUCUCUCUUGCUUCAUUUCGGAAAUAACACCCUAAGAAUCAGCCUUAGCCGUUCUUCUCAACCAAACCUUCCGUCUCCCAUGCCUCAAGCCAUCAUGGAUUCAAGCUCAGAUCAUCAUCACCGGCAGUGUCUGAGAUGCUUAGACCCAAAGAUUCAAAGUCCAAUCAUGCAGAUUGAGACCAUUUCGAACAUGCAACAGUAAUCACCUCCCACUCUAUGCAAUAUAUAUAUUUACUAAUUUUGUUUUCCCUGUGAUUCGUCCUUGUAUGAGCUCACACUGAAGGUCUUAUGUGGUAGGGGCUGGAGAUCCGUAAGGAAAAUGAAGAUAUAUACCCGAAGAGUCCCCCCAAUUCACGGAUCUAUGAACUCGAAACACACAGAUCUACGAACAUAGAUUCGGUAUAACCAAGGUCUUAAAUGCCGAUAAUAUCGGCGAAAUAUCGCUGAUAUUAUCGAUUUUUCGCGUUACCGAUAUUUUAAUAGGUAUCCAAUUAGUUUCGUCAAAAUAUCACGAUAUUACCUAUAAUAUCGAGAUGUUUCGCCGAGAAUAUCGAGAUUAUACCAGAUCUGUUUAUUGGGUUGGCUGAGGAUUUCGUUUCCAACGAAGAGGUACCGAAUCAGAGUCUCCGGGUAAAAGGGGACGACGUUGGUGUGGACCCAAUGGUCGGCGAGCGUCUGAUUGGAGGCAGUGAGGAUUUUGGGGUUGGCGUCGUAGAGCUUGACUCGCUUGGCCUUGAGAGACUGGAUGAGCUUCACCGACUGCGACGGUGGAGGGAGGUUGUUGCCCAGCUGGCCAUAGUUCACACCCACCUUGGAGGCGAGCUCCGCACCUGAAAAAAUCAAAAGGGGUGAGAGAAAAAUACCAAAUGAACAAAACCCAUGUCGCAAUUUUUGAGAUUUUGGGGAAGAAACUUACUGGAAAUGGAAACUGAGAGGCAGAGGAUGAGCAGGGGGAGAAAACCCAACUCCAUUUUUUGUGGAUUUUGAGCUGCCAGAGUAACUAAAAGAUGAGCUUUUCCUAAUUGCGUGAGUUUUAGAGCAGAAAGAAGUGAUCUGGAGCUCAAAGAUUGGAUCUUUGAGGAAAAAAAUAAGAGAUAAAAUGAAGGAACUAGGGCGCACUGAGCUGCUGCUACUGGACCCUUGUAUAAAAAAGGAAGGAGUGAGAUGUUGCAGGUGUUUGAGGAGUGAAAGAAGAUUGGGAAUAGAAAAGAUAAAGAAAAGAAGAAAGGGAUGAGAGAGAGAGAGAGAGUGAGCAGAUGACUUUAUAGAAAAGAUAAAGAAAAGAAGAAAAGGACGAGAGAGAGAGAGAGAGAGAGAGAGAGAGAGAGAGAGAGAGAGAGAGAGAGAGAAAGAGAGAGAGUGAGCGGAUGGAAGGAUGGAAGGAAAGAAUAAAAGGUUAGACUGUUUUUGGGGUUUAUUAAAUUAUUAUUAAGUUAAUGAGGCUUACUAUUUUGCUUGGUUUCCAUCAAACCCAAAAAUACUUGAAAAAUUGUGUGUUUAAACUUUUUUCAUUAAUUACUACAUAUUUUCUACACUCACAAUGUUUGCCAGCUCGUUAUAUAAUCAACUUAAAUCAGUUAAAUCCAUCAUGCAAUGAAUUUCCUUCUAAUUUUUUGUGAUAAACUAAUAGAUAAUUGACUAAAUAAACAUCCUGCAAAGUUUCAAUAAAAAUUUCCAAGUUUUUCUUACAAUUUCCGUGGUUUCCAUAUUAUUUUUAUUGAUAUCGAUAAUAUCCCGAUAUUUCCAUCGAUAUUUCCGUGUUUUUGGACUACCGAUAUUUCCGAUAUCAUCGAUAUUUAAUACCUUGGUUAUAACUCAUCCUCUUUCAAUUUAUUGCAAGUUUAAUCUUGACUACCCCCAAACUUGAAUGCUGCAAUAGUGAUCUGCUAAGUUUAUAUCUAAUGGUCAAAGUUUGUGUGUUUGUAAAUUCGAAUCACAAAAUUAACUGGACCUACUGGGAAGCUAAGAGAAAAUCCUAAAUGCACAUUUGCAUAGGUAUAAUCCCGAACUUGCUCCAUAUUUUCUUCAUUGAUUUAAGCUUUAAGUAACUGUUGUGGUUGAUAGUAGACUUGCUGUUGGGUGCAUCUAGUACUUGCAUUUCCGUAUCUUGUUUGUGCCUGGAAUGUUUUGAAAGCAACAUGCAUAUUCGUAGACUUUUGUAUCAGAUUCACAUAGAUAUUGCUAGAAAAAGAUAAAUUAAAAACAAAAUAUUUUUGUAGUUUUCAAAUUUUUUUUAAUUUUUAAUUUUUAAUUGCAUAGUAAGUGAAACAAAUAAUAACGAAAUUAACAACCAUAAAAUACUUGACCAAAUUUAAAAGAAACUAAAAAGAGUAGGGAUAGAAAAUUGGGUUGCCUCCCAACAAGUGUUUUAGUUAACGUCCAUAGCUAGAUGUUGCCGAAGGCUAGUGAUCAAGUUAUUUGUUCCUUCAGAGUUGAUGACUCGCUUGCACUAAACUUCCUUAUAAAUGGCUUUAGUUAAUACUUCUUGACCUUGAGCAUACAACCCUUUCCCUUUAUUUCAAUAUCCACGUUACCAUUUUGAAAAACCUGCAUAACCAUAUAAGGGCUUUUCCACUGAGACUCUUGUCACCCUGGAAUUAAUUUAAAACUGGAAUUCAACAACCACACCUUUUUACCAGUCUGUAAUUUCUUAAAAUUUGGGUUGCCUUGCAACUUUUUAUGUUUUUUCUUAAUGUUAAUCGGUUGGACAUCAUGUUGCACACUUUGUUGCUGCAUUUUAGGACUUAUGCAAUCAGAAAUCAAAUUUGGAGGCUUUAUGGACAGAUGGUCAGUUGAUGAUCUGGUCAUAAACUCGGCACUAGGUAAACCAUCUAAUGCAUCAACAUGCAUGCAUUCUUGCUUUUCACCUGGAUGUGUGGUAGCUUCAAACAACCUAAAAACAACCGUUUGAUCUUCAACCCGAAAUGUUAGUGUUCCAGCUUCAACGUCAAUGAGAGUACCAGCUGUUACCAUGAAAUGGUAGCCCAAAUGAUGGGUGUUUUCAAAUCCUCAUCCAUGUCUAGAACCAUAAAAUCAGCUGGCAAAAAUAAGUUGUCCACCUUUACAAUAACAUCUUCAGUGACCCCUCUAGAAUAGGUUAUUGAACGAUCUGCCAAUUGAAUAAUGCUAGAGGUUGGCUUCAGCUCACCUUCACCUAGACGUUUAAACAGAAAAUAAGUUGUCCACCUUUACAAUAACAUCUUCAAUGACCCCUCUAGGAUAGGUAAUUGAACGAUUUGCCAAUUGAAUAAUGUUGGAGGUUGGCUUCAACUCACCUUCACCUAGACGUUUAAAAAUAGAAUAAGGCAUUAAGUUUACACUAGCUCCUAAAUCAAUUAAAGCACUAUUACAAUCAAAAUUUCCAAUGGUGCAAGAGAUAGUAAAACUCCCUGGAUCUUUUUUCUUUGGAGCCAAUUCAUGCAAUAAGACAGCGCUGCAUUGUUCUGUUAGCAUAAUUUUUCUGACUCAACAAGCUUUCUUUUCUUACUGCAAACAUCCUUAAAAAUUUUGGCAUAGGAAUGAAUCUUUCUAAUGGCUUCCAACAAUGGCAAAUUAAUAUGAACUUUAGCUAAAGUUUGCAUAAAAUCUUUUAAUAGCUGAUCAUUAGCCUUCAAAAUCAAUCUUUCUGGGUAUAGUGUUGGAGGCUCAUAAACAUGUUCAGGAGUUUGCACUGAGGGAAUGUUAGAUUCUGUCAGGUUGUGUUUUGCUGCAAUUUUAGUAAUUGUUUUUUAUGUUGGCUGCACAACGCUAAUUUCUUCAUUUGUUCAGUUGUUAUAACUAUUUCCGGAUCUCAAAGUCCUUAUUGCACAACAAUCUUCUGUACCUCUUGGAUUUGGAACUGUUUGGCUGGGAAAUUUCCCUUUUUCUCUUUCUGUGAUAUAACUUGCUAACUGCCCAAAUUGUUCUCCAAACUUUUAAUUGAUGCUUCAACAUUUUGAAUUCUUUAUUGCUGCCAUCUAUGAAUGAUUGAGUUGUGGCUGCCAAUUUAGCAAGUUGAUCUUCCAAAGAUGGUUUGGAUGGAAUAAAUGGUUUUUGUGUAUUCUGGAAUGGUUUUGCAUUAUUCUGAUUGUCACCCGAUUUGAAAUUAGGGUGAUCCCUCCAUCUUAUAUUGUAAUGAGUUGCAUAUGCAUCAUUCCUAGGCCUUUGAUAGCUAUGCAUCAUAUUAACAUGUUGCUUAACAAGCUCCGGGUAGGAUUCUUUAUGCAAGCAUCCCAUUAUAUCGUGCUUAGCCAUGCUGCAAAUACUGUAAACUGUUGGUGUAGGUGGUUGUUGUGUAGAAUUUGCUAUUUGUUGUAGAAUAAUAUCAAACUUUGCAUCCAUUUUCUUCUCCAUUUUUUCUAUUUGUGCAGACAUGUUAGGAGAACCUGCUGAUAACUCAAAAAUACCCCUUUUCUGUGAAUGUUCUGCUGCCCACUAUUGAGAUUCUAUAGCCAUCAUGUCAAAUAAUUAAAAUACCUCCCUUGCAGAUUUAUUUGACAACGAUCCUCCAGUUGAGGCAUUAACAUGGCUUUUAGAUGUAGGAUUAAGCCCAUCAAAGAAAAUAUUCAUUUGUGUAUCUGAAUCAAUAUUUACAUGUGGACACUUUAUGUACAUCUUUGUAUAUCUCUCCUAAGCUUCAUAGAACUCUUCAUUAGGCUUUUGAGUGAAUGCCAUAAUUUCCCUCUUAUAAUUCAUUGUCUUGGAUGUUGGAUAAUGUUUAUUCAGAAAUUUUGUAUGUAAUUGUUGCCAAGAAGUAAUGCUAUUAGCCGGUAGAGUGAACAACCAAAUUUCCGCCUUAUCCUUCAAAGUGAAAAGGUAAAGACGUAACUUAAUAGCUUCGUAGAAAAACCCCUAAUCAAAAUAUUUUUGCAACCCACAAGAAAUUUUGCAAUAUGUAUGUUCAUAUCCUUGUUAGGCAGCCCACGAAACGUUGGUAAAAUUUCAAGCAUGUGGUGCUUGAUUUCGAAUGUGUCUCCCUCUUCUUGGGCAUGAUAGACUAUACAAUUAGGAACAUCAUUUGCACGGGCAGCCAAUGACUAUCUGAGUGGUUUGCCUGUUGCAGGUAUUGCUAACAUCAUUUUAACCUCGUUGUCCACAAAUACAGCAAACAAAUCCUUCAGAAAUGUGUUAUGCAGUGAAGGAUCAAAUGCUAAAACUGUUCUCUAUGCUGUUUUCGUAAUAACCGUUCAAGUUCUGGGUUAAAUGGAACAAAUUGUGUAGGUUGUGAUAUGGUGCUGACCAUGCACAGAUUUCAGCAAUAAAAAAAAAACGAAAUAUUUUUUUUAAUUUUAAAAAAAAAAUGAAAAUAAUUAACUAAGAAUAUGAUAAAAACAAAUUAAUUAAAAAAAUCCCCGACGUCGGCGCCAAUUUCUUGAUAGGAUUUUUAGUACCUGCGCAAAUAGGGUUAAAAUCACUAAAAAUACUUGUAAGAAUACAAGGUAAUUGUAGUAUAGAUGCUCAUGCAACGUCGUUGUCCCCAAAGAUUUGUUGACUAAUUUGUAAUUAAACUAACUCUUAAUUAAUUAUUAAAACAGAUUUUAUCAAAGAUUUGAGAUUUAUGAAUUUAAAAAGAUUAGAUAAACAAUAAAAGAAAUCUUAAAGUUUGGAAAUAAUGGCAGCAAAGAAGAAAAACGCUUUUAAAUUAAAAUCAAUUAAGGGAAAUCUAGGGUUUAGCCGUCACCGUCACAAUCCUAUGCAAUUCUAUCAAUUACUUAUGAAUUUCCACAUACAUGCCUUAAAUGUUAGGUUUUCCUAAUGCAUAUUUUCCUUGUAAUGUUCAAGCGAAAACGUAUAUCUAACAUGCAAUCCGUCUGUGAUGUUCAGAUCAAAUAUAAACAUGCAAGAUUCAUUAAGUUUCAUGAAAACCCUUUGAAAAACCAUGCAACCCUUAAGAGCGUGAUGUUCGCCUAAAGUGAACUUACAAUUACAAAUCAAAUUACUUGUCUAAAUAUCCUAAUGGUGAUCAAUCAUUAAAAUAUAUAGAUAUUUUUAAUCUCGAUGAUUAAUAAUUCAAAGCAAGCAUGCAUGUCACAGCCCGUCCCGGGAUUUUCUUAUUAAGGACGUGAAAUGAUGGAUUUACCCUUAGCGGGUAUUAAGGUAUGUGUGUGACAUUAUUUGGUUUAACUUUAGAUAUGUUUGGGAAGAAAAUAAAUAAGAUGAGUUGGAUUAUUAAAUUUGGUUUUUGUUAAUUUUGGUUAGGGAUUUAGAUGAUGGAUGGUGUGGAUUGAAAUGGACCAUCUAAACCCUUACCCUCUUUCUAUCCCGUAGCUCUCUCUCUCUCCUCCAUCUCGACACUCUCUCUCUCACACCCAUAUUGUACGGCCACACCCAAAACCCCCCAAAACUCAGCGGAUCGAAGUAAACAAGUUAAGAAUCUUCAUCCUCGUGAUGUUUUGAGUUGAUUGGUGCUAGUUUUAGGACGUGGAACCUUCGAUUUCACGUGAACCCGAACCCCCCAUUUUUUGUCACUGUUCAUGCACACGUGAAAUGUUGUGUUUCAGGGAAUUCUAAGCUUAUAGUGAGCUUAGUGAGGUCCCAAGGAAGCUCGGAGUGCUUCGUUUGAAGGAUUUGGACGUCGGGAUCACGAGGGUUGAGUUUGGCCGGUUUUGCUUGGAUUUUUCCUGUGAGGUUUAGUUGUUUUUGGAGCUUAAAAAUAGUGUAUCGUGACUCUACAUGUUUGGGGCUUCAUUUUGGUAUAAAAUACGAAGAAAAUGGUUGAGAAACGAAGGAGAACAAGGCGUUUAAAGUUUGGCCGGAAACCGGCCGCCGGAAAAACCAGUCCGGCGAACCAAGGUUGGGGGGUGACGCGCGUGGGGGCGCGUGCGACACCAAAAAAUUAAUCUAAAAAUUUCUCGACGUUCGUGACGUCGAGUAGGUCGAUGGUAUAUUCAUAUAUCCAAAUUGAGCAUCGUAUGAGAAGUUAUUUCGAAUUGUUGAUUAUGUGUUUAAAUUAACGUUUUUAUAGUUGUUUCGCAUAUAGGUGACACCUAUCCCAAGGACGAGCGCAUCCAGGGAUGUCACGGGGGUUACGACCCAUCAACUUAUCAGUGAGUGGGCAGUUUUGUUUUUGUAUUACCUAUAUACAACUGUUUUUCCCAGAAAAUGCGUUUAUAUGAAAAUUAUGAUUUAAAUUGCCAUGCAUGCAAAUGUUGAGAUAUUUAGUUUGAUAAUGGAUGCAUAUAUAUGUUAAUUGACGCGAUGGACGCACAGGUGAGUUUUUAUAUUAUUCAUAUGAGUUAUUUUAUGAGAAUUGCAUUGAAAGCUCAUAACCUGCACCCUAGGUGUUAGUGCUUAUAUUAUUAUUCACCACACCGCAUGCUCGUCUUGGAUCCAAGUAGGUAGAUGUCGUACAGACCAUGUGAAGGUUCCGACAUGCUAGUCGUAUAGAUCACUAGAUGUGAUUCCGACUAGUGGGUGACCUUAGUUAUGCGCGCUGAUGAUUGAUGAGAGAAGCACUAAAGCGUAUUUAUACACUUUUCAUCGUACAGACUACUAUACGUAGUUCCGAGUGAUGUGCAGUGUAGUGUCGUACAGGUCACAGUUGGUGACUCCGGCAGGGCCGUAUAGGUCACUGUGGUGACUCCGGCUGAGUGGGAUGUUGAGCUUUAGAAUCAGCCAUACAGGACCAUUGUAGGGUCUCCGGUUGAUUUAUUAUUUCACCUGAUUGAUAUUGAUGCAUUUCUGAUUAUAUUUGGCAUGGCGUGGCAUAUUAUUUCUGAGAUGUUAUGUUGAUGGAUAUGAGCUGAGUUUUGAUGAUAUGUGUAUAUAUAUGUUUAUAUACUAUUUUUCUGGGAAAGUAUACAGGUUUUACGGUGAGGGGUUAGAAAUGUUUUAAAUGAAAUGUUUUGGAAAAUCUUUGAUUUUACUGACCCACUUAUCUUUGUUUUGCGCCCCUCCAGGUUCUAGUUAGCGGUUGGUGGCUCUCGGGGUCUUUUUCGGCAUUCUGACAGACGUUCUGCAUGUAGGGCUCACCUGCGGGUGAUGUAUUUUAUUUUGGUCCUACUUGACUGCACUUAAACCUAUGCUCUGAAUUUAUGUGUUUACCUUAUAACUCAUCCUUUUAUUCUAGUAGGUGGUUAUACUAGAGAUGGUUUGAAUUCCUUCAUAUUCUGUUAUAUCUUGCUUCCGUGUCGCACUUUUGGUUACGUCACGCUCUGACGGCCAGCACGCCUUGAUCCUCUGGGUCGGGGUGUGUCAAUGCAUCCAUUCAUAAGCAAGUUAAUAAAAUUACAUAUUCAUGCUAAGGCUCAUGGCAUCGCCCUAGCAAAAGAAAUUAGUUACACAUACUCAUAAUAAAAAUCAAAGAAAAUAUUCUUAGAAUGAAAACACCUUGAAGUAGAAAAUCUAAAAGCCUUUGAAAACCCCAGCGUAACACAAACUAGGGUUGACUAAAAUAUAUCCCUAAAACCAGCGGCACAAUCCCUGAGAACCAAGUCUCUUAUUUCCACUAGGAAGCUAACUAAUAAUAAUAAUAUAACUUAGAAAAUAGAGUUUUAAUUAAACUAGGACAAUCUGUACAGAAACUGUCCAGCCACGUUUUAGCCUCAAAUCUCCUCUAAAUCUGUCCCAUAAUAGCUUAAUUUGAAGAUCGGGACGUUUUGAACACAUCUCCAUAAGGUCACAAACCCAUCUGAGGUCAUCUUGGACUCCAAAAACACAAUUCAAGCCCGAAACAUCACUAUUCCAGCACCUUUAUUCUAUUGCCAGAAAAUAACCGCCUAGUGGAAAAGUCUGAUAUAUUGACACGAUCAAGCUAAUGACUCACGAACGUCCUCCAAUUGGAAUUACUCCAAAAUUCAUCAAUUUGACCAUGUUUUGCUCCAGAGGAAGUCGAAAGUUCUAUAUUGAAAAUACAAUUCAAAGUAUCAAAAUUUUUCCAAAAUAUUAACCAAAUAGGGUUAAAUAUAUAAUAUAAAAUUCACUCAUCAAUACUACUAAGUUUCAUAAAAAAUUUGUGUAAGGGGCACAGGGAUCCGCGUAUCAGUUUUUUUUUUAAAUAUUACAAUUAUAUUUUUUUUAUUAAAAUUGAAGUUUUUUUUGUCAUGUUUAUUAAAAUUUAAGAGUUUUUCAUAAAAAUUUAAGUUUUUUUAUUAAAGAAAAUUAUAUCAUGUUUUUUUUUUUAUUAAAAUAAACUUAGUUCAAGCAAUUUUCAUGAAAAUUCCCAAGUUAAAAAAGAGAGACUCUCACCGGACCACUGGUGAAUGAGUUUAAUUUGCUUUUACUAUUAAUGUUAAAUCCGUAUAUCCAAAAAUUAUUGGAUGAUUACCUUAGGAAACUAAAAGUAAAACAUAAUAUUAUUAGGGUUCUUGGAAUGUAGAAAAACGUUGUCGGGUUGGUCCGGUUGAGGCACUGGAAAACAUUUACCACUUUGAAUGAUGAAAUGAUUUAAAAAUAGAAAGAUCAAAUGAUUCAAAUUCUUGAAUCUUGCAUCUGCAAAUCUUUAAGUCGAAUUAUUAUUUUAAAAAAAAAUCUACACGACAUUUCAAUACAAUAUUUGGUGUUUGGGGAUUGGUUAAAAAUCUAUCCACACAAAUUGUAAUUUCGAAUAAUGACACGUGUCAUGACGAGUUUGGUUAAAAAUUUCAUCUGAAAUUAAACAUAAAAUGAUAUUUUAUUCUUUUUUUUAAAAUAGUUUUUUAAUACCAAUUGCCUAAGCAAUUUAUUUACGAAGUAAAGAUGCAGUUGAACAAUUACUAUUUACUAAGACAGUAAUUACCUUGCCCAAUUACCUGUACAGUAAUUACCUUAGUUCCCAUUCCAAACCUUCCACUAGAAGGUUGUCAUAGUGAGGUGACUUCCCAAGAGCCACCAAAACAAUUGUAUAAUUAGUAUCAUGGAAGUUCAACAUGUGGAGAAAUUUUUAAUACGGAUGUUACACCACGUGUUUUUAUAAAAAUGGUAAUUUUUUUUAUUUUUUAAGUUAUUAAUUUUUUAACAUACAUAUCAUACUCUUUGUAUAAUGACACGUGAUAUACCAUCCGUGUUUCGAUUACAUUGAAAAAUAUCUGCAACAUGUGGCCAUCGUCGUUUUGGGGCCUAAAACAUGGCCAAGCCCAAGUCCCUUGACUGUAGCGAUUGGUUCCCUUUCCAAACCUUCCACCAGGAGGUUUUCAAAGUGAGGUGACUUCCUCUAAGCCACAAACGACUAAACAAUAACCAAAUCAAUUAACUCGUCAUCUAAUAGUGAUAGAGCAGUUAGUCAAGGAAUCCUCAGUCCUCCAUCCAACGGUGAUCAAACACAUGGUCAACAAAUUUUCCUUCAUUGGUGACGUGGACAGAGUUGACGAGUCUUCCUUAAUUUAUGUGGAUGGUAUGUUGCAUCAACAACCUAAUAUAUGAGUGAUGUCGUUGUCAACUUUUGUUUUUCGUUUCUUUACGAGAAAUAUUUGCAUGGAUUAGCAUGAGAAAUGUCUCCACCUUACGACGAAUCAUGCAUAAUAUGUGGUUGGUAAUUUACAACACAUAUGCCCAAACAAUUCAUUCGGUGACUUCGUGAGCCCCGAAUGAAUUGGAACCCUGUUUUGAUGAUUUAUUAGUUGAUUCAAAAUUUGGGUCAUUUUCUCCAUUUAAGUAGUGCCAAAAUUGGUAGCAUUAGUCCUCUUUUUACCCCCACACUUUUCAUAAUUACUUUCACGUCUUUGAAUAAAUUUAUAUGGAACAAUUUCAUUGUUAUGAUAAUGUUACGAUAUGUAUUAGCAUGUGAAGAAAAACUUAAACGUGAUACUAGAUUAUUUACAACACAUAUAAGCUAUUUACUUAUUCACAUGAAUCGGAAUAAAAAUUAAUAUGAUUACUAAAAUGCCUAUAUUCUAGUAAUUUAUUUUAUAUGCUAAUUCUUGAUUAUUUAUUUAUCUUUCGGUGAAAUUUUAUUUUAUUUUAAUUUUGUGAGAAAAGUUGUAAUUCUUUUAACUAUUGAUUUUUUUUUUCUUUUGAGAGAAUAUAAUUUGCAUGAAUUUCACCAAAAUUUUGAUUUCUCAAUAUUUAGUGGCACCGGAGUAGAUGCCGUUGUCGGAAUUCAAUUUUACUUUUUUAUUCUACUUACUCGUACAUAGAUGUGACAUAAAUGUUGCCCCACUCCGGCACUCACAUCUUCAUUUGACUAUUGUAAGCAUUCUCAUUGUCAGCUCCUCUGUUUUUCGUUUUUUUACAUACAAUUAUUUGUAUGAAUUAAUGUAGGGUGAGAAAGGUAUCUUCCACCUAACAAAUCGUGCAUAAAAAUGUGGUUAGUAAUCUAGGACAUAUGACAUCGACCCACGUUUUCGCCCACAUUCAUCGUACAUGUUCACACUAGGGUGCAUAUGCAUUAUUACUUUUUAUCACUGCAGUAAAAUGCACUUUGUAUAUUCGUACGUCUUUAGUCUAGCCUAACCGGUGAGGGUAAAUAGGGAAACAAGUUAUGUAAGAGUUCAAUUGAUAUCCAAAGUAAGUUAAAAAGGAAAACUAAUGAAAAGGGCUUCAAAACUUUGAGUUUUAACAAAAAAAUCAUCCUAUAACUUUAUUUAAUGAUAAGGACAAGAGAAAGAAAACAAAAAAAAAAAAAAAAAAAACCUAACUAAAGGCGUGUGCAAAGAGCACCCAACCAAUCCUUCAGUUGCAUAACCCUUUGACAUAAUCCAAGCAUAUUGUAUUCCUCUAAAAUUAAAAUUUCAAAUUGAAGUGGGUUCCGUAUAAUUAGUAUCAUGGAAGUUCAACAUGUGGAGAAAUUUUUAAUACGGAUGUUACACCACGUGUUUUUAUAAAAAUGGUAAUUUUUUUUAUUUUUUAAGUUAUUAAUUUUUUAACAUACAUAUCAAUCUGUCUUGUAUAAUGACACGUGAUAUACCAUCCGUGUUUCGAUUACAUUGAAAAAUAUCUGCAACAUGUGGCCAUCGUCGUUUUGGGGCCUAAAACAUGGCCAAGCCCAAGUCCCUUGACUGUAGCGAUUGGUUCCCUUUCCAAACCUUCCACCAGGAGGUUUUCAAAGUGAGGUGACUUCCUCUAAGCCACAAACGACUAAACAAUAACCAAAUCAAUUAACUCGUCAUCUAAUAGUGAUAGAGCAGUUAGUCAAGGAAUCCUCAGUCCUCCAUCCAACGGUGAUCAAACACAUGGUCAACAAAUUUUCCUUCAUUGGUGACGUGGACAGAGUUGACGAGUCUUCCUUAAUUUAUGUGGAUGGUAUGUUGCAUCAACAACCUAAUAUAUGAGUGAUGUCGUUGUCAACUUUUUGUUUUCGUUUCUUUACGAGAAAUAUUUGCAUGGAUUAGCAUGAGAAAUGUCUCCACCUUACGACGAAUCAUGCAUAAUAUGUGGUUGGUAAUUUACAACACAUAUGCCCAAACAAUUCAUUCGGUGACUUCGUGAGCCCCGAAUGAAUUGGAACCCUGUUUUGAUGAUUUAUUAGUUGAUUCAAAAUUUGGGUCAUUUUCUCCAUUUAAGUAGUGCCAAAAUUGGUAGCAUUAGUCCUCUUUUUACCCCCACACUUUUCAUAAUUACUUUCACGUCUUUGAAUAAAUUUAUAUGGAACAAUUUCAUUGUUAUGAUAAUGUUACGAUAUGUAUUAGCAUGUGAAGAAAAACUUAAACGUGAUACUAGAUUAUUUACAACACAUAUAAGCUAUUUACUUAUUCACAUGAAUCGGAAUAAAAAUUAAUAUGAUUACUAAAAUGCCUAUAUUCUAGUAAUUUAUUUUAUAUGCUAAUUCUUGAUUAUUUAUUUAUCUUUCGGUGAAAUUUUAUUUUAUUUUAAUUUUGUGAGAAAAGUUGUAAUUCUUUUAACUAUUGAUUUUUUUUUUCUUUUGAGAGAAUAUAAUUUGCAUGAAUUUCACCAAAAUUUUGAUUUCUCAAUAUUUAGUGGCACCGGAGUAGAUGCCGUUGUCGGAAUUCAAUUUUACUUUUUUAUUCUACUUACUCGUACAUAGAUGUGACAUAAAUGUUGCCCCACUCCGGCACUCACAUCUUCAUUUGACUAUUGUAAGCAUUCUCAUUGUCAGCUCCUCUGUUUUUCGUUUUUUUACAUACAAUUAUUUGUAUGAAUUAAUGUAGGGUGAGAAAGGUAUCUUCCACCUAACAAAUCGUGCAUAAAAAUGUGGUUAGUAAUCUAGGACAUAUGACAUCGACCCACGUUUUCGCCCACAUUCAUCGUACAUGUUCACACUAGGGUGCAUAUGCAUUAUUACUUUUUAUCACUGCAGUAAAAUGCACUUUGUAUAUUCGUACGUCUUUAGUCUAGCCUAACCGGUGAGGGUAAAUAGGGAAACAAGUUAUGUAAGAGUUCAAUUGAUAUCCAAAGUAAGUUAAAAAGGAAAACUAAUGAAAAGGGCUUCAAAACUUUGAGUUUUAACAAAAAAAUCAUUCUAUAACUUUAUUUAAUGAUAAGGACAAGAGAAAGAAAACAAAAAAAAAAAAAAAAAAAAACCUAACUAAAGGCGUGUGCAAAGAGCACCCAACCAAUCCUUCAGUUGCAUAACCCUUUGACAUAAUCCAAGCAUAUUGUAUUCCUCUAAAAUUAAAAUUUCAAAUUGAAGUGGGUUCCGUUUGAUUUAGAAUCACAUCUGGGGCGUCAGGUGUGGAUUGGGAUGGUUAGGGGUAGGGGUGGGGCAACAUCAUUGACAACAUUGUUGGACUCAUCACUCAUUUUUGUAGUAAUGGUAUUGAGCUAUUAACCAUGCAUGACUUUAACGGCGGGGACGUUGAUCCCUAUCAUGUUUUUUUUUAGUCUUUUAUUGCAUUCUAGUGAAAGAACUUGUAAAUUUGGGACGAGCAUCUACAGUUAAGUUUUAUAAACAAUGUAGUAUCAUUACGUUUCAUAAAUAGUGUAGUACCGUUAAGUUUAAUAAACAGUGUAGUAAGUUUCAUAAAUAGUAUAGUAAAUUUCAUAAACAAUGUAGUAAGUUUCAUAAUCAGUUUGUGUGAGAAGCGCUUGGAUUUGCACAUUAGUUUUUUUUUUUUUUUUUUUUUUUUAAAUAUUAAAAUUAUGUCUUUUUUUAUUGAAAUUUAAGUUUUUUUUGUCAUUUUAUAAAAAUUUAAGAGUUUUUUUAUUUAUUUAUAAAAAAUUAAGUUUUUUUAUUAAAUAAAAUUAUAGCAUGAUUUUUUUUAUUAAAAUAAACUUACUAUUAAUGUUAAAUCUGUAUAUCUAAAAAUUAUUGGAUGAUUAUCUUAGGAAACUAAAAGUAAAACAUAAUAUUAUUAGGGUUCUUGGAAUGUAGAAAAACGUUGUCAGGUUGGUCCAGUUGAGGCACUGGAAAACACUUACCACUUUGAAUGAUGAAAUGAUUUAAAAAUAAAAAAAGAUCAAAUGAUUCAAAUUCUUGAAUCUUGCUCCUGCAAAUCAUUAAGUCGCAUUAUUAUUUAAAAAAAAAAAUCUACAUGACAUUUCAAUACAAUAUUUGGUGUUACGAGAUUGGUUAAAAAUCUAUCUACACAAAAUUAUAAUUUUAGAUAAUGACAUGUGUCACGACGAGUUUGGUUAAAAAUUUCAUCUGAAAUUAAAAAUAAACUUAUCUUUUAUUAUUUAAAAAAAAAUAGUUUUUUAAUACCAAUUGCCUAGGCAAUUUAUUUACGGAGUGAAGAUGCAACAAUUACUAUUUAUUAAGAUAGUAAUAAACUUGCCCACUUACCUACACAAUAAUUACCUUGGUUCCCAUUCCAAACCUUCCACUAGAAGGUUAUCAUAGUGAGGUGAAUUCCUAAGAGCCACCCAAACAAUUAUAUACCAUCACAGAAGUUCAACAUGUAGAGAAAUUUUUAACACAGGUGUUGUGGAUGCAAAUUUCUUCCUCCUUGAUCUUGGACAAAAUUGCACCUACAAAAUAAUUAACACCUUUGGUUAAGGCCAAAAGUCUCAUGCGCCCACGAUGAAUGAGGGGGUUUUGGCCGAAGAACCUCCGAUGCCAAAGUAGAAUUUAGAGAGAAAGUUUUUGAGAAUUUUAGAGAAUUUUAGAGAAUUUUAGCAAGAGAGUUGGAAGUAGUUUUUGGAGAGAAUGGAGAGCUAUUUAUAGGGAUAUGGCUGACCCUAUUAGGAGAAUUGGGACCGGCCAUUUGGGGUAUUUUUUACGUGUAAUUUGUGGUUAAUUAGCCAUUAAUAGAUUAAUUAGGUAAUAAAUCCAUUAAUUGGCUAAUUAACAUAAUUUGAAAGAAAUAAUUUGGGAGUUAUGGAAUAAUUAUCUAAUCAAUUAGCUAAUUAAUAGAAUAAUUACCUAAUUGAUUAGCUAAUCAAUACAAUAAAAAAAGGAAUAUUUGGGGAGUUACCUUGUGGAGAGGAUUGGAUGAGGAAGGAUGAAAUAGGUUUUGAAUUGUUGGGCUGCUCGCAUGUCGCCUUGUGAUUAUUUUUGGCUCCACAAAUGCCCCCACACUUGUUGGGCUGCUCGCAGGAGAGGGCAACUGAUGUAGAGAUCUUCUUGCUUGAGGAAACAUAAGAUUGUUUCUUAUUUAGAUGUUGAUUCCCUCUUUAAUAGGAAAUUAGAUCAUUCUAGGAAAGGGAAAUAAAUUUCUCUCAAAGCCUAUUUAAGUCCACCUUAAGUAGGUUAUUAAAUCAACUUUAGAGAGCGAUUUAUUCUACCCUACAAGAGAAAGAGAGCUUAGAGGAUAUUUGUUCCCCCUCCUUUAGCAAUCUUCUACAUCUUGCCCGUGCAAAGGACCGUCUUUCGUUACUUUCUUCGUCUUCUCCACGCCGCACCGAAGUAAGAAAAAUUUAAUUUUCCUUGUCUUCUUCUUGGAUAGUGUUGUCAUGGGGCAGCUGUUGGGGUGGUGCGGCAUGUCGACUGGUAGGGGCCAGGAGUCGGCUCGGCAUGGGCCAAGGAGAUGUUGUGGCAAGGACCACUGCUUGGGCUGCUUGGCUUGGCUAGUGCCAAGGGCAGCUUGCACGGCUAGGGCCAAGGAUUGAGGCAUUGGGGCAUAGUGCUAGGCGAGUCGCAUGGUUCUUGUCUUUUGGGCUUUUGGUCCUGACGCGGGCCAGGCCAAAGUUUGAGAGAAAUGAAAAGGUCGCGGGCUUCAUGGGCUGCUAGAAUGCUGGGCAUGCAAGCCUCCUGCCUGCUGGUCUGAGAGAAAAAAAUGAAGGAAAAGCCAGUAUGGGUUGAGCUCAACUGUUGAGUACUGUGAAUGGCGUUGGUUGCUUAGUUCUCUUCGAUGGGAGAAAUGCGGGCUGUUCCCAAGAGAGAAGGUAAAGAGGAUUAAGGCGGAUGCAUUGGCUCGUUUGAACGCUGUCGUGGAGCCUAUUAUGAAUGAAGGUGGAAAUAAGAGAUCUUCUUCGCCUUCUCAAGAAAUGUUGGUUGAGAAAAUUGAAGACUUCAUCCGCUACUUGUGAGGGUCCCCCUGCUAUCGAGAGUUCUGUGAUUGACAUGACUUCUUCCAAUAGGAAGAAAAAUAAGGCUGCUAGAUCUGAGCAUGUGGCGCCUGCCAUGUCGAGAAUGGCUGGUCUUAUCUUGGAGGCGAUACAUGAUAGAUAAACAGGGAUGCUGCGAUGUUAUAUGUCGAUCUUGGACGUAUGUUGAGAUUAAGACGUGACACUUCAAGCCCAUGCCCACACCUAUUUGUUAAUAAGCUUCACCCGUAGACGAGUCCAUGGUUAUUUAUGCAAUGGGCAAUCAACCUAGUAGAACCAAUGUUGCCUGCUACUGAAGGCAGAGGCAUGACGAUCAUGGUGGCAGACUACUUCAUUAAAUGGGUAGAAGUAUAGCCCGUGACAACCACAACUUAGACAUACACGGAGCGUUUCAUAUGGAGGAGCAUCAUCAUUAUGACCACAUCCCACAAUCUAUCGACACAGACAAUGGCUUGCAAUUUAUAGGCAAAGACUUAGUGAAGUUCUUUAAAAAAUAUGGCAUCAAGCAUCACAUAUCCAUGCAAAGGUAUCCUUAGGGCAACUAUCACGCCCCGAUCCCGACAUACGUUUAGGAUCGACACGUGACGUCAACAAAUACCCGUAACUCAACAUACCCCGCCUCCAGAAUAUGUAGAAAGUAUAAUUCAAGAUCCAAAUGCAUAAUAGUUUUUCGUACACUUUAUGGCUGCAUCUAAUCUUUUCGUUAGACUGCCUACAUACCCUCAAUAGGGAUCAAGCCAUUCAUAGUUCAACUUCGCUAUAACUCGACAUAUAACAUAGUCUGUUUAAUCCAAAAUGCAUAACAUUCCUCAAUCAAACAUUUGGACUUGACAAGCAUGAAUUAUUCGAUUCAAACUACAUAACAACCCGCAUGACAAUCAAGGUUUCUAUUUCAUCCAUCAUAUAAAUCACUAUGUUUCAACAUAAAAUCGUUAUUCAUAUCAUGUAAUAUAUCAAAGAAUCAACACAUCACAAUAGUAUGCUCUAGUCGCAUUGAUCACUGAUCUAAUCAUAUUAAUAACAAUCAUAUUCAACAUCUUUCCACAAUCAUCUCAAGUAACCCAUUCCAUGAUAUCAAGGAGGCACGAUAUUAACAUUUAAUUAUGUUAAUCAGUCAAUCAGAUCACACCUCAAUGCACAAAAUUAAUAAAGGACUUCUACAUAAUUCCCUGCCUGGAUUUCAAGUAAUAACUUGAUAAUUCUAAUUUAUAUUCACAAGAUCUAUUGUGGGUAAAUCCCAUUCACUCAACGGAAUCCAAACCAAGAUACGAUUUCGGACCAUCACUCAACGGAAUCGCGGAGUAAAAGGGAUUCUGGACCAUCACUCAACAGAAUCUAAACUAAUUUAUGAUCACCUAUCGAAUGUGCCAAGUACAACUAAUCAUCAUCUUCUCUAAAAUGCGUAAGGUCCCCCAUCGCCGAUAUACCAAGCAGAACCAUAGGCAUAAUCUCAUCGUGCAUGCAGUGAUCAUUUAUUGCAGAUAUACCAAGCAUGAUCACCCCUGAAUACAUAUGGUUCCCCAUCACGGAUAUACCAAGCAGGACCAUCCAUGUACCAAUAUUACAUGGUGCAAUCAAACCAACACACAACCUACCUCCUACCUCCACACUUAUGAUUUACAACAUGAGCACAUACACCAUCCAUUUCUGUAUUUCCCAUAUAGAUUCCAAAGCAUUGUUUUGAAUUAUUACUACAAGCAUCCACCACCUCGAUCAACUCUUAUUCUCAAGUAUAUGCAAUUACUAAAUGCAUCACUUUCGACUCUAGUCUUCAUUAGAUUACUUGGGACUACUAACAACACUAUGAGAUCCAAGUACUAUUUUGGUUAACUUGCAUUAGCAUGAUCAAAAUAAAUGUAACAUUUGAAUGAAACACUUAUAGAAAAUAAGUGAAGAUGCUAUUUACAAAUAUAGAUGUGCCUGUAUAUAUAAGCCUUGGCAGUUGGUGCAUAUAUAUUUCCAGGGAUAUAAGUAAGUUCCUUUGAAUAUGCAUACAUAGACAUAUGUAUAAGGUAAAUAAGAAACCAUUUCAUCCCUUCAUUAUUUUACACAUACAUAUGAGGAUUCGUUCUACUUUAGACAUAUGCAAAAAGGUCUAAUAAUGUUAAACCAAUGAGAUGGAAUUAAUAUGUUCAUCAACAAUGGCUAUUCACUGUCAUUCAUAUAAAAGCCAUGGCUAUUCACUAUCAUCACAAAGACAACAUCUGGACCCCGUAUGACUAAAUGUAUACAAAUAACUCUAGCAACAUUGUACUAAAUAUAAAGAGAAACAAUUUCAUAUUAUGAGGCAAUAGCCAUGUUGAUUCCCCAUCAUCAACAUUACAUUAAUGCAUUCACUAACUUUAAAGCAACAUUUGCAACAUGAUAAAUGGGUAAUUUUCAAAUAAGACAAUACAUACAUAGUGUCAACCAUCAUCAUGGUUGUCUACUAGCCUGGGAUGUUAGGUAACAACUGAGCAAAGCCACAUCACAGCAGCAGAGUUAUAGGUAUUCAUCAAACAAAACCAAAGAGACUAUCUCCCAAUAGUAAGAGCCACAUAUAGUAUGAUGUAAUGAUCAUCACAUUUUCAACAUUAACUAAAUGAGCUCAAAUUUACGUGGUAGCUAGAGCUCAACAAGGGAAACACUUUUCACAACUAGGCCGACGAUAAAUUCUAACAAAAAACAGUCCAAAUUCACCGGAAAAAAUUGGAUUUCUAGGGUUCUAAACACCCAACUCUAAAAUGAAUAUGAAAGCACGAACCAAGCAUACCAACUUGAAGAUUAUGAAGAGUAUAUGAAGUUUCAUACCUCAUUCGAAGGAAAUGGUUGCCGGAAUCACCAGAAAAAUGAUAAAAUCGUCGGAAAAGUCGUGGGUUUUGUGGCUUUGAAUUGCAAAUAUGGAAAAUAAAAUGGGAAAUCUAUCACUAUAAAGUUUUAGGGCUCGUCAAGAGCUUUCCAUGGACACCAAGAUCACAAAAAAUGGAGCUCGGACGGAGGAGAUACAAACGGGUCGAGUUUGUGGGUUAACGGGUCCAAUUCACCGCUAAAACGGGUUAGAAUCAGACCCUCUCCCUUUCUCCCUUUUUUUUUUCUUUUUUUCAGAAACCUUCCCCUUUUUAUUCUAACUUAACCUUUAACCCACAUGUGGGAAUUAAAUAAUUCCCACAAUCUAUACUUCAUAACUUCAAACGUCCGUAACUACCGUUAUAACUCGAACUCGCAAACGGCUUUCGCCUACACGUUCGUGGGUUCGAAAUCUAUUUAAAAACACUAGUUGAAACUUCGAAAAGUCAACGAAAGAUAAAGAUUGAUUACGAAAAUUCAAACCCGAUAACUAUUCGAUUUAAUUCCUAAAAUUUAUGGAAUUAAAAUUAAGUAAUAAAAAUGACGUAAAUGUGAAAUACGAACUUAAAUUACGAGAUACAUAAUGAAUAGUGAAAUUCCGAGGACGGGAUUUCACAGCAAUGGGCAGCAGUGGCGGAUCUAGAAUUUUAACAUCAGGGUGGUCCCCAUAUAAAAGCUCUAAAAAACGUAGGCGAAAAUAAUAUUGAAAAGUUAAACGAUAAAUUACAAAAUUUUCAUUCAUAAUCUUUGUACAAACAACGUUACAUACAAACGCGAAAUGCAGUUUACGCGCUACAUACUACAAUUUGGAACAUUUUUCAAAAUGAACCACAAGGUUUUAAUUUCAGCAUUUUAUACCUAAAUGUUUUUAUUUUAGUUUUUAUGACUUGUUUAAAACGAAGCAAACAAUGCAUGUGGUGGAUUGCACUGAUGGUUAAGGCUUUCCUCUUUAACUCACUGUGUCUGAGCUCAAACUUUCUUAGUCUUCUUAUUGUAAAUUAAAAGUAGAAUAUUGUCUUUAAUUAGACAACAAUGCAAACAAAUGAAAAUAAAAACACAAAAAAAAAAAAAAACCAAAGAGAAGAACAUACACAUAACCAAGAUGAAAUUGAUAGCAAUGAAAAAAUAGACUAGAAAAAGGAAUCGUGACCAUUCAUUGUACAUCGUGCGGUCAGUUUUUGUUAGGUACUAUUUAUAUUUAAUUUUAAAUUUUAAAUUUUAAAUGAUUUCAGAUCUCACAAUGUAUGAACAGUCACGAUCACAGGGUCCCUAAGAAAAAGAUCUGGCGAGGAUCAUUUUCCAAAGGAAGGAAGGAUGAAUGUAGCAGUAGAGAACAAACAGGAAAUAAUUUCAACAAAAAACAAAAAUGCAAUGACAUAAAAGUAAAGUGACGUGGCCUAAUUUUCUAAAACUUAGAGAAAUAUCUUGGCCCAAAACAAAGGCCUAAUUUUCUAAAAGCCCUUGGCAACAUGUCGCAAAUACUUGUUAAAUGACUGGGUGAAAUGACAUUGUCCAGUCGAGGGUUAAAAACAUAAAAAAGCAGUUUUCUUCUUCUUCUUCCUUAGGUUGCUUCCUGGUUCUUUCUUUGCCCACCACCGCACCACCAUUUUUCCAGACUUGGAUAGUCCUCGGAGGUCCUCCCAGCCACUUAUUCGGACUUCCUGGUGUGUCCCUUAAUAGAUCCGCCCCUGGCGGGCAUACCUAGACAUCCAAUAAGACGAUCCUAGGCUAUCUAAAAAAAUCCCUCUAAAACAAGAAGGGAAAGUGGCCAGACGAACUUUCUAUAAGGGUAUCGCAUAACCAAAUGACAAGCAACCGGUGAAACUUCUUUCUCCUUGGCGUUCGGUUUAAAGGCAACCAUUCGUCCCAACGUCAUCGUGCCAUGUAUCAACACUAUAUUGCCAAAGCCCCAUGCAGAAUAGAAAUGAGAUGGACAUAAACUUAAAUCUUAUAAAGGAAGAAAGUAAGAAGGUUAUCACCUGCAUUGCAACCUACCAACAUCAACCCCUCUGCAGUUACAAAAAAAGAGCGAAGAGCUAACAAUUCCAUCCUGGAGAUCUAGUCCUGAGAAAAGCCUUCAUCAUUACCUGCAAAGAAGGCUCCAAAAAGAUGGAUCCUAUCUGGGAAAGUCAGUACAAGAUCAGCAGAGUAGAUAGAAAUGUUAGUUACACUCUUGCCACCAUGAACGACAAAGAGAUCCAAAAGCAAUGGAAUGCCUCUAACUUGAGAAAGUACCACGUGUGACCUCUUAUUGCACCCUUAGCUCCGCUCUGAUUGAAUAAAGCUCGAAAACUCAAGCAACUCGAUGAACAUUUCGCAAGCCGAGGAUUAUCUAGUUGUUAUUGUUAAGAUAAAGAAACACAGCAACCAUUGAAACAUAAUUGAAGGUUUAGAGAAAGAGAGCAUGGAGAGAAGAAGAAAAUUCUAUAUUUCGUGAUUGGAAAGAUACAACAACGAUUCACCAAUAUAAAGGUGAUUUGUACGGCUAAUCUCUACAACCUUAUCACUUAAUAGAUUCUAACAAUACUAAUUCACUCUUAUGCAUAUCAAGUGACAAGUGUAUCAAUCCACACUAUCUAUACACUCUAUUCCCUAACAUUCCCCUUCAAACUUAUGAUUGGAAGGUCCAAGUAUGAGACUGCAAUAAUGAGUACGAAAGAGUGAAGAUCUGAGUCCCUUUGUAAGGAUGUCUGCAAACUACUUAGAAGAGGAAACAAGCUUAAGUAACAGUUUCUUGUUAGUUAUGCCAAAAUCUGAAUUCUAAAAUCUUUUUGGGAAGUAGUCAUUGCAAUUGGAGAGUGGAGUAUUAAGUCACCGUUGCACAAAAGACUCUGGAAUAAGAAAAUCUUCCUAGCACCUGGAGCUUGUACUUUACAACUAUACCAUGUGUACCAUAGUACCCAAAUCAACGUAGACCUGGUGCCCACACUCUUAUCACAAACUCUCAUAUGGUAGUCUAACUGAAUAUCAAAUAUACUUCCACCAUUGCAUAAUUGAAAUACAUAAAAUCCUCUGAACUCAUAUGAACCAUUAUGAGUAGGAACACUAAUUUCCUUUUUGUUGUUAGAGUUAAGAAUCGAAAAUGUCACUUGAAUACACAGUUGUAAACCCACUAAAAUCAACUGAGAUUCUACACCUUCCUUGUCAAUACAUACCAAACCUUGGUUUUUGGCAUCAUCUAAAAACAUUUCAUCUUUUUAAACAAUGAAGUCAAAGAGAGAACCAAACUUGCAAUCAUAAUCCAUAUGAAUUUCAACACCAGAAUUGCUUUGUAAAGGUGUUUCAUGUUUGUGUACGAUGACUAGACAAACUAGUUUGAAUUGGUGAUCCAAUGUGUUUUGACAUGAUUCAGGGGUUGAAACUGAACACUGAGCAGUAUGUAUAGGAUAACAAUCAGCAUUAAAAUGAUCCAUUUGUGAACAAAUUUGAUGUGUAGGAAAAUGAGGUGGUGGAGAAUUAAGAUAUGGAGAUGGCGGUGAGCCAAAAACACCUGGUGAAAAUUGAGGAAAAGACUUGUAGGCAUUAAAUCUUUCACCAUUAUUGUAACGGGCUGACCUUUACCACUAUUCUUUGACUGAAAAUUCCUAUAAGCACCAUUAUAACCACCGACAUUUUUACCAUGGCUUGAUUGACCACAAAUAUAACUAUUGUAUCCCCCAUUAUCAUAGCUAGGUUAGGCUGGAUUAAAACUAGAUUAAGCAUGAUAACCAUCAUUGUAACUAGCAACAUUUUUACCACUGCUAUUACUCGACUUACUAGUAAGAUAGAGAAAAGGAAUAACUUUUUGGCUCAUAUUCUCCAGAUUUAGCUACCAUAGGUAUCAUAUGAGCAUAAUCCACAAUGGCUUUCUUGGCUAACAAUUGUGCACAAAAGUCCAUGAGUGCAAUGACACUCUCACGCCUUUUGAUUACAUAUUUAAAUGUGUUGUGUUCUACAGAGAGUCCAUUCAAGGCAAUGCUCACAAAGUUUUCAUAAGAAACAUGACACCAAGAAUAAAAAGUCCAUCCCUGACCUCUUUAAUUCUUCAAAUAUACUAGAAAAUUGAAUCAAAUCAUUUCUUAAUGUUGUAAAGAUCAGUCUUUAACUUGAUGAUACCAGUUUUUGUGAUUGGUAAGAAAAACUGGUUUUGAAGACGAACCCACAUCUCUCAAGAAAUCUUGCUACUAAUCAUACAAGAAAUAAUGGAUGAAGAAAAUGUUGCAGUAAGUAAUAUCAAAGCAUGAUCAUGCAUUUUCCUAACUUUGUAUCAUCAAUUUCAAUUCUUGAAGAUGAAGUGCCAGAUUUUACCUUUGAAUCUCCUGAAGAAGUAAAAGAAAACUGAGUAAGACAUAAAUUCGUUCCAUAAACAAAUCCCAAAAUCCAUAGCCUCUAAGCAUCAACUGUAUCUAAAAGUGCCAUUGAAGGUAGUUGGUCUCGUCUAACUUGACAUAAACGAAUGUAGAGACUAAAGAAAUCAAGCUAAUAAUUGGAGAUUGCAAGAUUUGCAAUUGACUCGCAGUAAUCAUGUUAACCAGUUUCUCUGAGAUUAACUUGCAGAAAGUAGAAUACAGAAAUGGGUAAGAAUCACAACCCAGAAAUUCAAAAAAAAAAUCACAGAGAGAUCAUAGAAGAAAGAAAUAGAUAGUGAAAGCACUAAGGAUCGAAAAAGCUUGCAACAAAGCUUAUUGGGCGAUGGUACCAUGUUAAGAUAAAGAAACACAGCAACCAUUGAAACAUAAUUGAAGGUUUAGAAAUAGAGCAUAGAAAGAAUAAGAGAAUUCUAUAUUUCUUGAUUGGAAAGAUACAACAACGAUUCACCAAUAUAAAGAUGAUUUGUACAACUAACCUCUAUAACCCUAUCACUUAACAUAUUCUAACAAUACUAACUCUUAUGCUUAUCAAGUGACAAGUGUAUCAAUCCACAACAUCCAUACACUCUAUUCCCUAACAGUUAUGGAGUUUUUACCUUCCAGCAAAGUUGAUACAUUUUUUUUAUUCUCAAUGAAGAUUCAAGAAGUCAUUCACAAGCUUGACUCAAUUGCAUGUUUAUAACAGCUGCUCGCUCUUGCUCUCUAUAAAAAAUUACGCCCUCUUAGGACAUAUCACAUGAAUUGCGACCGUUUGGGACAUAUUAGCACUCUGAAUAUCCAGAUGUGGAUGGGUUAGCCUGCUUUGGUAUAACUGGGUGCACGAUGACCUGCACCGACAAUCCCUUGAAUUAGCCACAAUAGGUUUUUUCAAGACUUAUCUAACUGAAGGAAUUUUGUCAUUCAGCUUAAUUUAUGAGGAUUUGGGCCUUAGAAACUGAGUAGGCAAAGAACACAACUUGUCCACUAAACGGCUGCUUGUGAAGGUUCAAUGCAGUUAAGUAUCCUUGAUGUGAUCAACUAGCAUCAUUGUUAAGCGUCCUGGGUGUGACUAAUUAUCAAUCUUCGUGUUAUGGAAUAUUAUUCUCUUUACCUAAGAAAGAACAUCCCAGUUGAGCAUCUUUAGUGUGACCAGCAAGCAUUCGUAGCUGAGCAUUUUUGAUGUGACCAACAUGUGAUCUUUAUGUGGAUAUGAAAUUUUAACUCCACUACACAUGGGGGUUCAAUGCAAUUGAGCAUCUUUUACACAACCAACUAGCAUUCGCGGCUGAGCGUUUUAUGUGUGACCAACUAGCAAUCUUUAUGGUAUCCUGGAACCCUAAAGCCACUGCUGGCUCGUUGAAUAGCCUAUGGAUUCCAGACAACUGCUUAGGGCUUGCCUUUAGAUUAGUUAGCCAUGAAUACUCAUAUAGCCGCACAUUUUUGUGAAAGGUUAAGUAGUUCGUGUGUCCAUACAAAACUCUAUCCGUUGCCGACAUGCUACGCAACUUACGGUUUUACGCACUUCCAAGCAAAAAAUAGCCAUUUAGGUUAAAGGACAUGAAUAUCCAAACAACUACACACUUCUGCUGGGACAAGUUAGCAACGUUUGUGUUCACACUAAUUCCUAAAGUGUUGUACUACUUGCUAUGCAACCUACGAAAUCGAUUACAUAAAGUGCAAAGUGUUCUUUCGAACCACUACCCACAAAAUUUCAUACAACUCCACACUUUUGAUGUGAUAAGUUAGCUAAAUUCAUAUCCCAAAAUUUUUUAGUAUGUUGUGAUCUAGGCCGCACAGCUUAAAAGAUUGAAGAAUUGACGAUUGGAUAACCAGCACAUGGUUAAGGAGUAACAAUGCUCGACGAAGUUCAGCAGUUCAUUGCCCCAAAAAGCCAAAGCUCACAUUCAAGUGGUCACUCGAAGUCCUCUGCUUUUAUAAGCAAGAUAUCCAGUUAUCGAACCUGUGGCUAACAUCUUUGCAAAGGUUAUACACCAAAACUGCGGCCACAUAGACCAUGCAGGACCAUCAACUUAUCAAAAAACAAUGUGCCUAGCUGUUGGUCCUGUGGUCAAAACUUGGUACGUUGCUAUUCUUCUCUUAUAAAAGCAACGUUUUCGACCGUUGGCUUUAUAAGUUAAAAGUUUUGAAAAACGCCUUAAGCAAGGAAAGUUCCCAGAACACCAACCAAAGUUGGUGCUUAAAAAAACAAGGCAAAUAAACUAAGAUGAAGUAAAGUGAAAAAAAAAUAGUUUAUUAAAUUUCUAUCAAAUUGAUAAACUGGCUUGAAGGCCAACAAGUUCAAGUAAAGCAAAGAAAAAAAAAGAUAAGAAAAUUCCUAAAGUCUACCUAAGAAGAAUAUUCAUCAGCAGCUUGUACAUCUUUUGGCUACUCAGUCACUAGGCCUUCAGUAACCACACUAUUUUCAAUAGCGACACCUUCCAUUACUUCAUCUUCAGCAACCUGAGUGGCACCAUCAUCAACUGCUCCACCAAUAACAGCUGGUCAUCUGGAGAAAUGGAUAACGUUUUGAAGUCAUUUUCAUAAAACUCAUAAUCAGACGACCUAUCUUAGAGAUGAUCUACAUAAUAUAACAUGUAUACAUUGGCUUGACCCUGAGCCAACAUGACUUUGAGGCCAAUUUUCUCACUUCUCAACUAUUCAUUUCCUUGAACCAGACUAGUAUGAGCACUCUACAGUCCAUCCAACUCAUUUUUCAGGUUCUCGCUAGCAGAUAACACAACUUGCAGCUUCACUUCCUUGGAUUCAAGUUUACUAGCAACCUUUUAGAGACAAAUCAGUUCAUUAUAGGUGGAGAUAAGCUCCUCAUCCAUCGCAUAGCAGGUAGACCAAAGUUUCAAAUUGACGUGCUCAAAGUCUUAAAUCUUCGAUGCAUAAUGGUCGACUUCAUUUUCUGUAGCUUUUAACAUCCCAUGAGUUACACAAAGCCUAGCCAUCAAGCUAUCAACAAUUUGGCGAACGACUUCUAGCUGCACAAAAAUAGAGGCAGAGACAUUAAACACCUUUAAAUUGAAGAGUUUAGAUUCUAAUAUUCCAAUCUUUGUAGCAGCCAAACGAGCUUAAGUUGCUAUCUCUGCCUCGACCCCUUUAGCACCCUUAAUGGCAUCCUAAUUGACACGCAUAGACUCGGCAGCCAACAUCAAAGUCUUAUGCAUCAUAACAAAUGAAAAAGUCAUUCUUAAGUUGGCAGAAUGCUUUGCAAAGGAACCCGAACGAAUCACUUUCUCAACAUUUUCAACAAACUUGGCGCAAACAUCAAGGUCAUCGAGCAAGUCAACUUUCAGCAGCGCAGAAAUCUCAUAGAACUCUCCAGAAGUAAACUCAGUGGAUUUCAUAUAACUGCUUACGAAUACAGCCUCAUUCUUCUCAGCAGGUGAAUCAGUCGUGGCAGUGGAGGAAAAGUAGGCCUAAGCGCCACAUUGGCAACAUAAUCCACCUUCAUACUCUUCAUAGUGGCAAGCCUUUCAGAAGUUAAACCAAACAAAGCUCCAGACCAAUAUCUCAAUGUAGACUCAAGCACAUGAGGCACAACAUAACUCAUAUAUUAGGUGUGGGACCAUGAUUUUCUAGGGCCGGAGUAAGUCUGAUCUGGAUACAAUUACCUUAGAAGUCUGGUCAUAGACUCACUAGAUCCUAGCCGAGCUGUAUUAGACGGAGUAGCAGUGCCACUAUCACUUUACUUUAGGGCACUUGGCGGAGUCAUAGCAUCUCUGCUGGAUGACCAUAUUUGUUCCACAAGACACGUGAUCUGAUCUAGAUAUAAACACAAUCAGAUCGUAUAAGUCUUAGAGUUCUUACAAUCUAGGAAUUUACGUGCAUCAUAAGUAAUCACAACUCCUAAAAUGAUGAAAUAUUGAUUUCUAGAUAUCCUCUAGGAUUCUUCCAACUUAGAACGAGGAUUCUAUCCUAAAUAGGUAUCUCUUUCCCCUGUUAUAAAUACACCCAUCUAGGGUUCAUCUAAGGUAACGUAAUCUAAAAACUUGAAUUCUCUUGCCCACUGCUUAAGUAUAAAAUCAUUCACAAACUUAAUUAUCAGAGAACCUUUGGCUAGCACACCUCCCCCUUGGUUUUAGGCUUGCUUAGAGUGUUUCACUGUUUUGCAGGUUGCUUAGAUUUGUGCUCGACUACCAUUGAUGGAGGUGCGCGAAUUUGGUUCCAACAAUUGGUGUUUUCGUCGAGAGUGAACUCAUAUUUCUCUCGGCCAGAUCACUAUACCAGUUAACAUGUCAGAAAACUCAAUUAGUCACAUCAACUUCGCCACCUUUCAGAGUAGUAUCCAUCAGGGGUAUGACAAUGUCGCUGCCAUUGACGAGACGUGGGAAAAAGUCAUGGAAAUUUGUUUGUCUCUAAAAGGCAUUUGACGAAGCUCUUUGGCUAGAGAACUUGCUCGACUCGCCGAUAUAAAGGCACACAUAAAAAACCUCAAGGAAGCUGUUACUCGCUUUGAAGAAUUGGUCACCCAGAAGACGAAGGUAAUUGAUUUAACGUUAGAAUAAUCAUCUCAAUGCCAUCUCCUAAAAGGGCGUCCUAGAAAAUCCCAAAGGCUUUGAGGUCUCCACCCUAUCCAGUGCUCAGGGGAAGAAGCAAUGAAACAUCCUCUAAGGUAAACUAUAUAUACAGGGAGUAAAAAUAUCGAGAAAGCACCCGGAAAGAAAGAAAGGCAGCUUGCAAGAAACCAAGAAUGGUGGCCUACAUCAAUAAACCACUGGUAAUCGAUUCCAAAAUCCUGAUGUUUUCAGCUAGUGAUUUGAAAGACGUAUGUUCACUUCAUGAAGACGCCCUCGUCGUCAAAGUCCAAAUUUCCAAUGCUUUAGUAAGCCGCGUUCUAGUUGACAACAGCUUAUGAGUCAGCAUUUCAUUCAAGGACGCCGUUAAAAAAGAUGGGAAUUCUCGACAACAUCAACAAAACGAAAAUAACUUUUCACACCUUUAACGAGGAACCGGUCCAAUACUUGGGAACGGUGAAGUUAACGGUCCAAACAAAACCCUAUAAUCACUUGGUCACUUUCCACGUAAUGGAUUGCCCGACUCCCCAAAACGCCAUUCUUUAAAGUUGACCAUGAUUUUCUAAAGCUGAAGUAAAUCUGAUCUGAAUAUUGUUACCUCAGAGGUCUAGUCAUAGACUCACCAAUUCUGAGCGGAGCUGUAUCAGACUGAAUAACGGUGCCACCAUCACUCUACUUUGGUUCACUACGUGGAAUCCUAGCUACUCUAUUGGAUAACCAUGUUUGUUCCACAAGACAUGAGAUCUAAUCCAGAUAUGGACACCAUCAUAUCCUAUAAGUCUUGAAGUUCUUACAAUCUAGGAAUUUGUGUGCGCCGCAAGUAAUCAUAACUCAUACGAGGAUGCAAUAUCUACUUCUAGAUAUCUUCUAGGAUUCUCCCAACUUACAACUAGGAUUUUAUCCUAAAAAGUUAUCUCUCCCACGAUAUAAAUACACUCAUCUAGGGUUCAUCUAUGGUAACACAAUCUAAACAUUUGAGUUUUCUUGUCCAUUGUUUGAGUCUAAAAUCAUUCACAACUUGAUCUUCGGAAAGCCUUUGGCUGGUAAACCCCCUCCCCUAGUCUUAGGCUUGCUUAAGGUUGUUUCACUAUUUUGCAGGUUGCUCGAAUUUACACUCGACCACCACUCACGGAGUUAUGGGGAAUUUGAUCUAGCACUGGGCAAUCCUCUCAGCAAUGAUUCUAGCCACUUUUGGAACAGCAGGCUAGGCUCAAAGUCAGCAGUCUCAUUUUUUCCUUUGGAAGAAGUCAAAUCAAUGACAAGCCUCUUGGCAGUAGGCCAUCCCCUAAGAGCAGCAGAAGAAGUCUUUGGCUUUUUCUUAACUGAUGAUUAUCAAGCAGUUGACAAAGAUUUCUUAUUUCCACCUCCACUGGCAGUAGGCUUUACCACGUUGAUUAAAAGAGCAAUCGCCUCUUCCUUGAUCUGUUAAUCUCUUCUUUCGAAGGCAGCCCACCUUUCUCCCAACGAAGAGGGUUAAGCAACCAACACCAUUCAUGAUGCUCAGCGGGGAUGCCCAAGCAAUGUGCAUCUUCUUCAUAUCUGGGAAAGUCUUUGGAGUUGAGCCAAAAUCUAAAUCUACACUAGGCAAUCGUUUGAUUCACCUUCGAUCUCUCUUAGACCCUCGCUGGCAGACAAAGACAGAGAGCUUAAAAGGCGGCAGCAUGGCGAAUGCCCCCCUUUGAGUCCCCAAUUGAAAAAUCAAUGCGAUUUUCAGCUGGGUUUUUGGGUUCUAAUGAUUUAUUGGAAAAUUUCACUUUUGGGUUGAGAGUUCUAAGCUUAAUUAAAGGAUUUGAAGGAAUUAUUAAAAAAUUUUGAAUCGAUUUUUUAUGAGUUCGAAGGAUUUGAUUUUCUUUUUUUCCAGUUUCCAAGGUAAAAGCUUUUGCCCUUUUCGUUAGAGCUCGCAAAUUUUGUUUUUGUGUGCAAGAACUAAUUUUAUUGUUUGAGAUUUUUAAUUUGGUGAAAUUUGCAUCUGGGUUUUGAUCAUUAAGCAAUGAGGGGCGGUUAAUCAUUCAAUUUUUAUUUUUUUAUUUUUAUUUUCAAUUUUUAUUUUUUUAUUUUUAAUUUUACUUUGGUUUCUAGAUGUAGUUAGAUUCUGCAAAAAAAUUUGUUACCUAUCAUAGGGUUGUUUUUUUCCUUUUUAUAAUUAUCAUGCUUCUUAGUCCGUCAUUGUAUCAAAUGCUUCAUUAAAUUAAUUUGGCUUAAUUUCUAAAUUAGUUCAAUCUAAAAUAGUCAGACGCAACAAACGCAUCCAUUUACCUUAGUGAAGUGAACUUGCUCUAAGGAUUGGUUCCCUUUCCAAGGGAAGAGAUUCCCUCCGGAUCUCUCCCAUCAGUCAAUUAAUCUGGACCCUUGGAAUUUGAUCCAACAGUAAAAAUUAUUAUAACUUUUUAAGAAGUCCUUUAUUUAUGGCCGUUGGAUCAAAUUUCAAGAGCCCAAAUUAAUUAAUUGGUGAGUUUUGGUAGAAGAUAUCCAAAGGGGAUCUCUUACCCCUUUCCAAACCUACCACUAGAAGGUUUUCAUUGUGAGGUGGCUUCCUGUGAGCCACCAAACAAUUAUAUAAUAUCUUGAUUACAGAAGUUCAACAUGUGGCCAUCAUCAUCUUUUUUUUUUUUUUUUUUUUUUUUUUUUUUUUUUUUUUUUUUUUUUGGUAACUUUGGUGAUUAGUUCCUUUUCCAAACCUUCCACCAGAAGGUUGUCAUGGUGAGGUGGCUUCCUCUAAGCCACCAAACGAUUAUACAAUAUCUUGAUCAAUGAACUCUUCAUCCAACAGUGAUAGAGCAGUCAAUCAACGAAUCCUCGGUCCUCCAUCGAACGGUGAUCAAAUUCAUGGUCAAAAAGUUUUCUUUCAUUGGUGACGUUGACAAAGUUGACAAGUCUUCCUUAAAUUAUGCGGUAAGUAUGUUGCAUCAACAACCUUCAUAUGAGUGUUGUCAUUGUCAGCUUUUAUUUUUGCGUUUCUUAAAGAUAAAUUAUUUGCGUGCAUUAGCAUGAGAAAUGUCUCCAUCUUACGACGAAUCAUGCAUAAAAUGCAGUCGGUAAUUUACAACAUAUAGCAUCAGUCUUUCUUUUUAUUUCCACACUUUCCAUAAUUACUUUCAAGUCUUUGAAACAAUUUAUAUAAAACAAGUUUAUCAUUAUGAUAGUAUUACAUAUGUAUUGACAUGUGAUAGAUAAACAUAGUGAUAAUAAAUUAUUAAAAUGAGAUAUUAUGUGACAGUAAAUUCAUUUAAUAUUUAUGUUAUUCUCUCCUUAUCUUUGGGUUAGCCAACGGUUAGUGAAGAAAUGAUUUAUGGUAAGGGUUCCAUUUCCUUCAAAGUAACUUAAAAUAUCUUUGAAUAAGUUUGAUAAUUCGUCUGAUGUGUGAGAUAUUUCUUCACAUUAUCAUGAUAUUAAGUAGAUCAUAAGGGCAAUACAAAACAUUUUACUUUGAAUAAUAUUUAAAUUACCUAUCAGCAAGAGUUGAAAAAAAACCUGGAAAUACAAAAAAAAAAAAAAAAAAAAAAAAGGGAUUCAUACAUCCAUCAAUCCUUCACAAUAUAAACUUCAAUCUUGCUACUGCAAAUCAUCAAAUCACAUUAUUUCUACAGCUUAAUAAUUAAUACAUCCCAUGCACAUCAUGACAUCAAACCGAAGUACUUCAAAGUCAAAGGCAUUGGUAAAGCUGAAGAGGAAGGCGUGGAGCAAGCAAAACCUCCAGUGGAUUUGCUUUAGGCAGCGCAAGCCCCAAUGCUUCCUUCAUAUCCACCGCCCCAUCACCAACUCUGCUCAUAUUAAAUCCCUGAAUCAAACGAGCCAGAACCAAUUGCACAACAUGCAACCCUAGUGUCAUACCAGGGCACGACCUUCUACCUGCACUAAAUGGAAUAUACUCGAAAUUACUUUGACCUUUGAAAUCCACGUCAGCAUGAGUGGUCAUGAACCUCUCAGGUUGAAACUCACAAGGGUUGGCCCACAUGCGUGGGUCCCGCUGCAACUUCCAAAUGUUGACUAAUAAACGAGUUCCUUUGGGGACGAAGUAGCCACCGAGAUGACAGUCCUCCGUGGCCUCACGGAGGCCUGUGAUUGGGCCAGGUGGGUAUAGGCGUAUGGUCUCUUUAAGAAUGGCUUGGAGGUAUUUGAGGUUUGUGAGGUCUGAUUCUUGAACCCAUCGGUCUCUUCCUACGUGGAUGUCCAACUCUUCCUGGGCAGAUUUGAGGACUUUUUGGUUGUUGAGGAGUAAGGAGAUUGCCCAUGUUAGUGUCACAGAUGUGCUUUCCGUGCCAGUUAUCAUUAGCAUCUGAGAAAGGAAGGAAAAUAGAAAACAAAUUAAUCCAAGUUUUCCAAUCCCAACUUAUAUGAUAUAACUGAUGCUUAUUUAUUUGUAACAAAAAUUGGCAUGUUAUGUGUCACGUCAAUUGGUAAAACAAAUUACAUAACAAUUCGUUUAUGUAGUACUAUACUUAGCACAUGUCACUUAGUAUUACAUUGUUUAUGAUCACUGUCAAGUGUAACCUCAGAGUGCAUACUAAUUAAGUAUAAUUCUACAAGUUCAUACAACCGUAGUAAUAACAAAGUUUAUAUUGUCUUGGGUGCACCAUUUUGUAUAUACAGUUAGGUAUUAAAAUAUGAACAUGUGUUAUAUUCUAGUGGACUCAAUAAUGCUACGUAAAACAUAUGGUUUGUGCCAUAUACAUAAUUAUAUAUUACACCAAACAAACUUAC
rnacentral:lncRNA from 1 species